CCUACGGGAGGCUGCAGUGGGGAAUAUUGGGCAAUGGGCGCAAGCCUGACCCAGCAACGCCGCGUGAAGGAAGAAGGCUUUCGGGUUGUAAACUUCUUUUAAGAGGGAAGAGCAGAAGACGGUACCUCUUGAAUAAGCCAUGGCUAACUAAGUGCCAGCAGCCGCGGUAAUACGUAGGUGGCAAGCGUUGUCCGGAUUUACUGGGUGUACAGGGCGUGUAGCCGGGCUGACAAGUCAGAUGUGAAAUCCCGUGGCUCAACCACAGAACUGCAUUUGAAACUGUCAGUCUUGAGUAUCGGAGAGGCGGGCGGAAGUCCUGGUGGAGCGGUGAAAUGCGUAGAUAUUAGGAAGAACACCGGUGGCGAAGGCAGCCUGCUGGACGACAACUGACAGUGAGGCGCGAAAGCGUGGGGAGCAAACAGGAUUAGAUACCCUUGUAGUC
rnacentral:rRNA from 1 species